CAGCCGCCGCGGGAAUACAGAGGGUGCGAGCGUUAAUCGGAUUUACUGGGCGUAAAGCGUGCGUAGGCGGCUUCUUAAGUCGGAUGUGAAAUCCCUGAGCUUAACUUAGGAAUUGCAUUCGAUACUGGGAAGCUAGAGUAUGGGAGAGGAUGGUAGAAUUCCAGGUGUAGCGGUGAAAUGCGUAGAGAUCUGGAGGAAUACCGAUGGCGAAGGCAGCCAUCUGGCCUAAUACUGACGCUGAGGUACGAAAGCAUGGGGAGCAAACAGGAUUAGAUACCCCCGUAGUCCCUGUCUUUAUACC
rnacentral:rRNA from 1 species